UACAGAGGGUGCGAGCGUUAAUCGAAUGAUCUGGGCGUAAAGCGUGCGUAGACGGUAGCGUAAGUCAGAUGUGAAAGCCCCGGGCUCAACCUGGGAAUUGCAUUUGAGACUGCUCUGCUCGGGUGCGGAAGAGGGAAGCGGAAUUUCCGGUGUAGCGGUGAAAUGCGUAGAUAUCGGAAGGAACACCAGUGGCGAAAGCGGCUUCCUGGUCCGACACCGACGUUCAGGCACGAAAGCGUGGGGAGCAAACAGG
rnacentral:rRNA from 1 species